rnacentral:rRNA from 1 species
UACGGAGAGAGCUAGCGUUGUUCGGAAUUACUGGGCGUAAAGCGCACGUAGGCGGCUUUGUAAGUUAGAGGUGAAAGCCCAGUGCUCAACACUGGAACUGCCUUUAAGACUGCAUCGCUUGAAUCCAGGAGAGGUGAGUGGAAUUCCGAGUGUAGAGGUGAAAUUCGUAGAUAUUCGGAAGAACACCAGUGGCGAAGGCGGCUCACUGGACUGGUAUUGACGCUGAGGUGCGAAAGCGUGGGGAGCAAACAGG